ensembl:lncRNA
AGGUUUUAUUCUUAUAUUUGCCUCUCCCUACGCGAGGGAGACGAACUCUGAAUUAUUUCUUUGGUAACUCCACGUUCGUUGAACCUUUGAAACUUCGCGCGAGUCUGCUCGCCCCGGAAGACACGAGAGAACACGCCCAGCUCUAAAAGCACGACGCACGCAGCUCUUAGCAGGCACAAAGAUACCCACAUCAGGAAAAGGCAGUUUGAGGAUGAGAGAGAGCUCCACAUCUCCCUGAGAGGAUUCAGACAUAGAGGGGACGACACACAUCAAAGAAUCUGGAUGGGGCUGGCUAUGCUUUGACUAAGCCACACCCCUUCUCAACUUCCACCUCGAGGAGGUCCCCAAAGCCAACCCAAUGGCCAAACAACACGAGAACAAGUAUCAACUUGGACACAAAGCACAGUUACUCUGCUUUGGAUGGCUUUCACCUCUGGGCUGGACACAGCGUACCGUGCUAUCUCCGGAGAUCUGAAGCACGCUCACAACAUAUACUGUACUGAACUAGGCUAGGACCAGCAGUCUCCUUGUCCUCCCGCGACGAAGUGCGUGAAGGCGGGGGUUUAUCUGACAGGACACACGGCAAUACACAGCAGCCCACAGCAAUAUACAGCACCACGUCAAAAUUAUAGGUUUUCACAGCAUGAAGACUCACCCACCACACUCAGUGUACGAAAAGGACACCCGUCUUCCUUCACUUCGCUUGGUUCGGAUCUGGCGAUGGAAUAUGCGGCCUAGCUAGUGAUGUCGUCGUUGUGACUACUUCAAUAAGUAUUCCUUCGGCUCUCCCACCACGCUAUAUUAGGGGUAGGGCCGCCCUCCUCCUCCUGGAGAGAUCUACACAACGCCAGGUCAAUAUACAGGGCACUUUCGACUGGCUCUUAGUACUCACAUCAAUGCCGCUUCCAAUCCCCUUUUUCACGUCGUCUCAGUUCGCCGUAUAAUCCGUUCACUUCUCAACCUUUAAGGUUCGCGAUGUCUUCACAAUCAUACAAUUCCAGCCUGAGGGAGAGAGAGAGUUAGACAGCCGCCAGCAGCGCACCAAGACGGGCACAACACAGUGCUUCACACACACCAGAAAGAACGCUCAGACUGUGAAAUAACUUGGCCUUAAGUACUGCCUUGUCCAGCGUAUCCUCCAAUCACCAACCGCUGUCCCUAACUAGGCACAGGUGCAUCGAAUUCCCUGAUUUUCCUUCUUACGGCGCUACCGGAAGUUCCGGUGUUCUGUUUUUCCGGUCCGGGCGGAAACACUUCCGGGCGGAACCAAACUUCCCGAAUUUUGGUUCCGCCCCUAAAGAUCGUCACCUUGUGACAUUUACACUGAAUGACCUCCUAUGGUUUAUGAAAUUCAAUGAAAGUUUCCAAAGUAAUCUUUUGUGUGUGGUGAAUGGCUAUAAAUGAUGAUCCAGGAAAUUUAGCUAUUCGCUUCGGUGCUGUGGCUAACAGACCUCUGAGGGCUAAUAUAGCCUCUACUUUUCCUUUCAACUUAUUAUUUGACUGAAAAAAGAGUGCAGCUAUUAAAGAUUGGCUCAAGAUGCAAAAAAGGCUUCUUUGAGAAUGUAGAAUAAAUUUAAACGUCCUGGUCCUUUAAACCUCAAAUAAUAUAUGCCAUAUUUUAAAGAAAGGCCUAUUCAUGAAAUAUCCUGCCAGUUACUCUCUCACAUUCUCUGGACUAAAAAUGAGAAGUUGUUAACAAGGGGUCUCAAACUUCAGUUUCCUGGGGUUCAGUAGACAGGUGUUGUUCACCACCAGGAGGCAAGGUAUAAGUUAAUAAACAAAACAAACAAAAACAAAGUGUUUUUACAACCAUUGUGACACUGCCAUACUUUGAAGGUUGAGGCUAGAAGGGAUACAGCUAAGGCCAGAAGUGACUUUUUUUUUUUUUCCCGU